GACAGACUGGAAGUCCAAUAACAAUCACUUUUAGUUGUAUGGUUUUACUGAGUAUGAGCCUUUAACUCGCACAAAAUCAUACAUACAUUAGAAGUAGAGUCCAAACUAUAACCCAUAUCUCCUGUAUGUAGGGCAAUGAUUUUCUAGGCUAACUGGGCCUGGUAGCCAUGGAAGGAGAAAUAUAUAUAUUCAUAAUUUAUCACUCAAGUUUGAGCAUUCGUAUUCCAGUUGCUAGCCCCAAAGUACUACACAAAGUCUUGAGUUUCCCCUCAUUUCAAGCUUUUAAACAUUCUUCUAUUUGAGCAUGCUGUCAAUGACCCUAACUGAUACCAUGAAUAAUAAUAAAACAUUGAGUAAGGGAAAGUGCCUAAAGACUCUUAAUAUCUAAAUAAAAUUUAAAUUUUAGAGGGCUUCUUGAAAGAAAGAAAAUGUGAUACUCUAUUGUAGAUUACCUUCUAACUUGACAGAACCCUCUGAAGUGAGCUAUGAAUUGAAUAUAUGUUUAUAUUUUGGAAGACGAUGGUGGUAAACUUAGAAAUUAGGAUGAGUAUCACAUGUGAAAAUAAAUGAUGCUGUCCCAUUUGCGGUAAUCAUUAUUUUGCUGACUUGGCUCUAUGUCUGGCUUGCAUUUCAAUAGUG
rnacentral:lncRNA from 1 species